CAGUAGCCGCGGUAAUACGUAGGGUGCGAGCGUUAAUCGGAAUUACUGGGCGUAAAGCGUGCGCAGGCGGUUUUGUAAGACAGGCGUGAAAUCCCCGGGCUCAACCUGGGAAUGGCGCUUGUGACUGCAAAGCUAGAGUGCGGCAGAGGGGGAUGGAAUUCCGCGUGUAGCAGUGAAAUGCGUAGAUAUGCGGAGGAACACCGAUGGCGAAGGCAAUCCCCUGGGCCUGCACUGACGCUCAUGCACGAAAACGUGGGGAGCAAACAGGAUUAGAUACCCGAGUAGUCCCUGUCUCUUAUAC
rnacentral:rRNA from 1 species